UCAUUUUUAACCAACAAACCCCCUAACCUAACUCAUUUAGUCACGUCCACCGCCCUUGAAUCCCAUGUCUCCCUCUUCUCUCUGAGACUCACCCAAACCCUAGUGUCGUCACAUAAAAUCUACCCUAAAUCCCUUCGAUUCCUACCUAUUCCAUGAGAUUCAAUGGUGAUUUGAGGCCCUACAGGCCUCUUACCUCUCCUAGUUCUUCGACUCUGUUGUUGCAUGAAGGGAUCUUGAAAAGAUCCAACUCAAAUUUGAUUCAAAGACCGUUCAAAGGCCUACCUAUGGCCAUUAUCAUUUGUGAGUGCUAUUUUCCUCUUAUUUUCAGUACGAAUCUAUGACUUUCGAACAAGUCUCUUUCACCUCUGUUAUUUUCAAAACCCUAAUCUCAUGGCUAAUUAGGCAUGUUCAAUCCUUGUAGAUUCGCCUUUGAACAUUGUUUGGUAUUUUCUGGAAAAACUUUCUAUUUUCCUUGUCAUUAUUCAAUUUCAGUGACUUCUUAUAGCUAUGGUUCGUCUUAAGUUCUCUUCAGAUGAUUUUUCUUAAUUUUCAAAUGUUAAACCUGAUUAUUCCAUUAUUGGUUGGGCCAAUUUUUGUGUAUGUGCUUAAACCCUAGGUACUUUGUUUAUGGCACUAAUUUCUUUAGUUAUUCUUCCGUUAUGUGUUUAUUUCUGUCAAUUAAUUAUCUUGAAUGAUUUUUUACAAGAUCUGAAUCAUAUUUUUCCGUUCAAAUUAGUAUUUCUUUGUGAUUUUCCUAUUUGCAUUAUUCGUGACUUUAAUUAGUUUCUUUUUCCUUAAUUAGACUAUUAUUGUGAUUCAAAAUUUUAUAUGGUAUGAUUGAUUCUCUUACCUUAUUUGAGCCCCAAUUUGUAACCUUAAUUCGAUCUCCCUAUUCUAAAGGGUCUUUCCUGGAUUCUUCUAUAUGAUUUGAUUGGUUAAAUGCCCAAUUAACUGGUUGAUUUAUUCGAUUACCCUUGGCUUGUGAACUGACAUAUCCUUACCUUAGUUUUUCUUACCUCACUAAGUGCUAUAUAUACUCUCAUUCUGACUCUCCUAAACACGCGAACGUCGUUGAGAAUACACACAUAUACAUUCAAACUCUCUCUUCUUUCUUUGCUACUUGUGUUAACUAUUGGUCUGGCCAGCUAAAAGCCAAACCUAGAUAGUGGAAGUGCCCUGUUUUUUUUACAUUCUGUAUUAUUUUCUUUAACUGGUAUAUCUCUAAUUAAAUUUUGAAUCUCAACCUUAUGUGUUCCAUGUUUAUACAUCCAUGUGUAUUCAUGUAUUAGUCACUCAAUUUGUUUCUUUGUUUGUUGUUAUUAAGCAUGUCUAACUUAUGCCUUAUGUGUAAUCAACAUGUAUGACUUCACUUAGUUCUUUAAUACGCACCUAACAUGUUUAAUUAGUUCCUUACCCCCUCCCAUUAAUAGGUAUGAUUAUGUAAUCACUUAGUUUUCUAGUGCAUUCGAUUGGUCCUGAUUUUAUGUCCAAUUCUGUUCAAUACAUCUUUGUCUUUAACAUGACCCUAUUACAUUUCUUCUCUAUGUCUUGACUGUCUAGUACCAUGAUUAAAUUGAUUCAGUAGACUCCUAGUGGUUCUGUACCUUUGUUGUAUCAAAUGUUUUCCCCGUUUAUGUGGUUUCAAAUCUAUGAGUUCCCAAUCCCCUUCACCCCUUGUUUGUAAGUCUGCUUGCUAAGGAAAUCUGAGUACUCUAUGAUCAAUUGUGUUGUUUGUUGAGUAUGCUUUCCCUCAAAAUGAUUUCAAAACUAUUACUUAGUUCUAGUAUUCUUCUCAAAAGCUGGUCACUCACAGUAUCUUUAAAAAUCUGUUUCUGAAUUUUUUCACCUCUAAGCUGUUUUAUUAAGUCUUUCAACAUUAUGUCAAACACUCUCACCCUACUCCUAGAGUAUUAAGUUCUGCCUCUCUAGUAUAUGUACUGCUUAGGGAUCCUUGAGAUCUCUCUGAACUCUGUUAUACCAGGGUUGGCCCUUUCACACUGCACAUAACUAAUCCCCAUUUGAGAAAUGGUUUUGUUGUGAGCAAUGACCGGGAUCCUUAAGGUCCUUAUGGAGCUCUGGUACACAAAGACAUAUACUACUAGCUGUGAGAUCUUUGGCUUCUGAUACUCUGUUAAAUGCCUGGUAUUCUCAGGUUUACUUUGGGCCUGAUUUAGGCUCCCUAUAGUAUAGUUUCAUUUACUUAUGUAAUUCAUUUGAUCCUAGUCUAUAAUAAUUUAUUUGUAAUCAUAUGUUGGGACGAUUAGUAAAAAGGGAGGGUUCCUAUAUGAUGUUUGUGGGAAAUUGGAUAAAUAUCAUGCUUUAGGUUUAUACAUAAUAGAAAUCAUGCUAUUAGUUCAUAUAUAUUCGCAACAGAAAUCCUUCUUUGUGUUUAUGCUAUGGUAAAAAUCAUGCUUUAGGUCUAUAUGUUAUGAUACUUGUAUUAAAACAUGUCAUAAGUCUAUAAUAUUUGCAGUAGAAAACCUAUCUUACGACGCUCAUGUUUAUAUUUUGCAUAUUAUGACCAUUUUAUAAGUUCAUCACUUCUUUCUUCGACUUUGCAUAGGUUAUUAUCUCCAUGAAACCAUGUCAUUAAACUGCUGAUGUAAUCAUGCUUAAUAAAAAUGAUCAUCUCUAUGUGCAUUAGAAACCCUGACUUAGGACUUUGUUUGCAUUGUCUCUAAGCCAUGUCUGCAUAAAUAACAUGCCUAAUUUGAAUAAAUAACUAUUUAUAAAAAGGUUUAAAAUAGUCCAACACAUAGAUAUUAUGUCCUAGUGUAAACAUGCCUAAAUUCGAUUUUGUAAUAUUAAUCACUUAGAUCAGCAUGGCUAUAGGACUAAAUAACUUCAAGUUGUUUAAUUAAUUCCCAGAUUAUGACUGCAUACAAACCCAAGCCCAGGAAAGCCUUAGGCAAUUAAAUAACUGUGAAAUCAAUUUCUGUUUAUGUGUAAAAUUGACCAGGUUUAACAUGCUAUAAAAUCAAUAGGCAAACUAAUUAGAGUUUUGCCACUUCGCUUUUAAACAAAUGCUGCAUAUUAUAUAUCUAUGAUGUUCAUCUAGAUAUCAUGUUCCUAGGAUUUUUGAGUUUCUUUAAAAAUAGUUAUUUUGAGACGUACUAUGCAUAUGAUUAUGCGUGGAGGCAAAUACGAGUCCCUAAUUGUUUUCCUAUUUGACAGCCCUAUAUAUUCUUUGUUAUCGCUUAUAUUUUACCUUUUAAAUACAUUAGAAAUGUCUACGACUGCCUAAGUAUAGAGGUCUUAAAUGCUUCCAGGACCACAGGGAAGGGACGGGUAAAGCACGCUUGGAGUUCGUUAAUUAAACUCACUUAUAUAACCAUUAAGGGAGGGUAAUAGGUAGUAAAAGGAUAUGAUGACUUGCGUACUAAUGUCAUGUUUUGACCCUCUAUUUGAGGAGGAUUAUCGGGUAUUGCACAUAUUGAUCCUAUAGGCUAAUAAACUCACGACUUCCCUUCUCCAAUUCACAUAUGCGUACUUAGACUGCCUAAACUUCCUUGGUUUAUGUAUGUAUGAUUGGAUUGUUCAAACCUCCUUAAUUUACAUAUGCUUAGACCAUUUAAACUUCCUUGAUUGUAUAUGUGUUUAGACUGCAUAAACUACCUUUAUUUGCAAAUAUGUCCUUAGAUCGUUUACUUGUUAAAUGACUAAUUCACAUAACUAAGUUCGACCGGGACCCACCAUUGUGGGCCUCGAGGGGUUCCUAACACCUUUCCCUUGAGGUUAUUUCGAGCACUUACCCUAAUCUCUGGUAAUGCAAACUGGUACAUGAGUUGAUUGCUCUAGGUGCCCUAACGCACCUUAAUCCAUUAGGUGGCGACUCUUCAAAUACCCAAUUUCCAAAAGGAAACAAGUUGUUCCCCCAUGAAUGUUGAAACCUGAACUCCGCGAGGGAAAAAAGGGGCGUGACAGCUCUAACUAACCUCAAGCAUCCAUUUAGGUUCUGUUGUGCUAAUAGCUAGUAGGUUGAUUGAUCUUAUUUGAUUGUAACUAUCGCAUUACUUUCUCUCAAACUACCUAGAUAAGGCAUCUGCUGCCCUAUUUUUAGCCCCUUUUUUGUAAUGCACUUCAUAAUCCAAUCCCAACAACUUCGUCAAACCUUUUUGCUGGAUAAUUGUAGUCACUUUAUGUUCUAAAUAUACUUGAUAGAGCGAUAGUAUGUCCUCACAAUGUAGUAUUUGUAUCGAAGGUAAUGCCUUUACUUGUCAGGAGCACUCAGAAGAGCCAUAUAUUCCUUCUCAUAAAUUGACCUCUCUUUAUGCUUGGGAGCCAAAACCUUGAUGAAAUAAACGAUUGGUUUUCCCUUUUGCAUCAAUACGGUUAUUAUCCCAUAUUGACUAGUAUUUGUCUCAAAAUGAACUUAUGUGAGUAUUCGGGGUAAGGCUAAUACAAGAGUGUUAGUCACGUCCACCUUCAAGGCUUCAAAGGCCUUCUCAAUUCCUUCAUUCUAGUUAAAGUAAUCCUUCACGAGAAAAUAAAUAAGGGAUUUACAGAUGCCCAUAGUUCAUCACAUACUUCAUAUAGUAAUUAAUUAACCCAAGAAAGCCCCUAAGAGCCUUCAUGGUACUGGUCCUAGGCCACUUUACCAUAUCUUCUAUUUUAAUGGGGUUUGUUGUCAACCCCNNNNNNNNNNNNNNNNNNNNNNNNNNNNNNNNNNNNNNNNNNNNNNNNNNNNNNNNNNNNNNNNNNNNNNNNNNNNNNNNNNNNNNNNNNNNNNNNNNNNNNNNNNNNNNNNNNNNNNNNNNNNNNNNNNNNNNNNNNNNNNNNNNNNNNNNNNNNNNNNNNNNNNNNNNNNNNNNNNNNNNNNNNNNNNNNNNNNNNNNNNNNNNNNNNNNNNNNNNNNNNNNNNNNNNNNNNNNNNNNNNNNNNNNNNNNNNNNNNNNNNNNNNNNNNNNNNNNNNNNNNNNNNNNNNNNNNNNNNNNNNNNNNNNNNNNNNNNNNNNNNNNNNNNNNNNNNNNNNNNNNNNNNNNNNNNNNNNNNNNNNNNNNNNNNNNNNNNNNNNNNNNNNNNNNNNNNNNNNNNNNNNNNNNNNNNNNNNNNNNNNNNNNNNNNNNNNNNNNNNNNNNNNNNNNNNNNNNNNNNNNNNNNNNNNNNNNCCCCCAACAGUAAUCACAUACCCCAAGUGCUCUAUCUUUGGUUGGCCAAAUGAACACUUAGAUCUUUGGCAAAUAAGGUCUGCUCUCUCAGAAUUUCAAACACUCUAUUUAGGUGGCCAACAUUCUCUCACUACUAGAAAUUAGUCCUACGGUGACUGUUCCAAAACCGUUGCACCAGAAAUUGAAACGGUUGCUGUAGAGGUAUUGUGAUGGUUUUGCGACAGCUACAAUAGGUAUCGUCGCAAUAGAGCUAUAGGGAUAGUUUUGUGUAACAGUUUCAUAACCAAUGCAUAAGAUGACCUAUUGCAACGGUUAUUUUAUGAAUGGUAUUGCGACGAUUCUUUACUCUAUAGAACGGUUAAAACCAUUGCAGUAGAGUUCGUUAUCAACUGUUGUUCAGGUUAUUGCUAUAGUUAUUUUAUAAUUGCAGCAGUUACUUAAUGCUAAUGCAACGAUUACGUUAUACUAUUGCAACAGUCACUUUUGGCUUAUGCGAUUGGGGCUCAUGCUAUUGCAACAGUUAUAGUGAUAUAUUGUGACGAUUAUUUUCUGGGCUACUGCAACGCCUACAUAUCUCUAUUGCUACAGUUAUACAAACCAACAAUAUGUAACAUACUUAGAAAUAUAUAUAAUUUAUGGGAAAAAAUUAUUUUUAAACAAAAUCAGAAUCUAUAAUAGGUGUUAUAUCCAUAAAAGCAAAAUAUUUAACAAUAUCUGCCAGUGAAUUGGAACGCAUAAGUUUCUAAAGUAUACAAAAAUAAAAUAUUUCUAGUUUCAACAUGAAUCAACCUAAUACUCCUAAGUAAGAUCUUCAUCACUUUGUUCGCCUACUUCAAGUUCUCCACCUACAAAUAAUCAAAAAACAAAUAAUUUAGCAAAAGUUCUAUAAAAGGAUUUCAUUUAAAGAUAUGUAUAUUAAUGUCAUGAUACAUGGUAAGAUUAAACAAAUUGACAAAUACACAAGUAUUUCAUCAAAGAAAACCAAAACAAACUGAUAGAAACUAAGGGUCCACCAAACUAUAUAGAGAACCAGGUUCUAUAUUAGUUCCCACAAAAAACACACACACUGCAGUAAAUAAAUAACACAAUGGAGUUUUACGUAGAAAACUCCUAUCUCUCGGGAUUAAAGACCAUGACCUAUCCUUGUAGGAUUUCAACUUUACUACUGAGCAAACUUCAUAUUCCAACCUUUUGUAACUUAGGAAUUAACCUCUUAAUCCCUCACUAACUUAUAACAACUCUAUUACAAGACCCUUUUUAAUAACUCUAUAGUAAAUCAUACAACUCGACUAACUCUAGCCAAGAUACAAAAUAAUGGUUUAUGAUUUUACAAAGUUUUCCUACACAAUGCUUCUAGCUAAGCUAAGUAGGAACUACAAGUAAAGUACUUUAACAAAUUUGCAACACAACUAAGGACAUGCAAUGACUCAAUACAAGGAAUUGGUCCACUGUUAUGUUGUUCUUUGUUCUUGACGCCCCUGAGAAUCACUUGCCAGAUUGAUUGAUCACUUGAGAGAAUGAUUGAUAGAUUCUUGAAUGUGUGUGUAAUAUUGAACCUUUGAUUCAAUAUUAAUAUUUCAAAGGUGACAUCACUUGAAUGUUGCACUAUUUGUGCGGUUGCAUGUGCAUGCAGCAACUUUACAAUUGUCUGGGGGUUGACUGAUGCAAUCAAUAAGGGAACUAGUGUCCAUCUGUUCCUUCUGUUGUUUCUCUGACUCUAAAGAGUUGAACCACAUCCCCAUCUUGAGACAUGACAUUCUUAAGUACUUGAGGAUGUAUAACAAGUUCCUCAUCUGGUACUUAUCAUUAAAUUUGUUAGAUCAUCUAAAAUAAUAGGGAUACAUAUAAACCUUCUGAUUAAUGGUUGAAAUACCCGGUUCAUUAGUGCUUCGAAAGUGGCAGGAGCAUUGGUUAGCACAAAGGGAAUAACCUUGAACACAUAAUGACCUAUGUGAGUUCUGAAAGAAGUUUUUACACAUCCUCCAUCUUCAUUCUAAUUUGGUGGUAUCCAGCCCUUAAGUCUACUACGAAAAAAAUCAAUGAAACGUGUAAUUCAUCAAGAAGAUUACCCACAAUCGGAAUGGGGUACUUAUCUUUGAUAGUGAUCUCAUUAAGCCUUUUAUAAUCCAUACAAAACCUCCAUGUUUGAUUAUUUUUCUUCACAAGCAAUGUACGUGAUAAGAAUGAUGACUGAAUGUGUUGUAUUAUCCCAUUAGUGAGCAUUUACCUAACUUGCUUUUCCAGCUCUUCCUUUUAGAAAUAGUUAUACCUGUAUAGCCGUAAUCUUAUAGGAUAAUCUCCAUGUCAUGGGGAAUGUUGUGGUCCGAUGCUCUGCAAAGAGGUAAGGAUUUUGGUUUAGAGAAUACAUCUAAAUAGCUGGCUAAUAAAUCUAGGACUGCAACAUCAACAGUCUCAUGUUCCCUUCACGUUCUCAAUUUCUAUUAAGAACAAAUUAACCAUGAUAGUAUGCCUUCUUCUCAACAGCUUACCCAUGGUACUUCCAUUGAUCAAGCGUAUUUGCCCAUUUUCAUGCAUAGCCUGAGGUACUACCUUGUUAUCCUUUCUCCCAAUGGUCACAUACCUUUUCUCAUUAUCAAAUUUAGUGGGUUAAAUUUUUUCAUCCAAUCAUUCCCUAGUGCAAUGUCACACCCUCCUAACUUGAGAAUCUUGAGAUUUUCUUUGAAUGUUUUACCCCCCAUAUUCUAUGUAAAAUUGGUGUAAGUUGUGUUGCAGAACAUAUAAUUGCCAUCAGGUACAGUUACUCUGAUUGGAGUAGUGUAAUUUGAAUGAUACCUAGUUUUCUGUACAGUUAAUUCAUUGAAAAAACUAUGUGUACUACCUGAGGCCAUCAAUACUGAUAAUGUUCUCCUCUUAAUGAUAUCGUUAACCAAAAUGGUAUUGAACCCAUCGUUGUUCCCAUAGAGGGAACUUAAGCAUAUAGUUUCUUGUAUAUCCUCUCCUUCUACAAGCUCAAUCUCAAUGUAUUGAAUCACUUUUUCUUGGCACUGAGGCAGUUCUCCAGGUUAGUCUUGAGGCAACUCCUCCUUGGUACCAACUAUACACUGCAACUGUUUCAUUUUACAUCUAUGACCUUGUGUGUACUUCUCUCCGCACCUAAAAUACAUGUGGUUAAACUUCCUGUAUUCAUAGACUUUAGGGCUUAGUUUAAGUGGACUAGGUUUAGAAGCAGCCAACCCUCCUACCUUUUGGACAUUAACAUUUGUUGAUAUUCUAUUACUCAUACUAGAUUUAGGCAUAAGCUUAAUCUUCAUCUAGGCAGCUUCAAUGGACUUUUCUUACAUCUUGGUAUAUUGUAUGGCAUAGCUCAGUGUGGUUUGUUUAAACGGCUUCACAGAGAACCUAAUCUCUUCUUGAGAACUCCAAUAAAACUGGACAGGAAAUAUGUUUCGUUCAAUGUAGGAUUUAUAACUAUCAUUUGUGCUUUCAAGUCAUUAAAUUUGACUAGGAAUUCCUCAACACUACCCGCAUAUUCCAGUUUGUUAAAUUCCUCCACAAUGUCUUACAUCAAUACAUCACCAAACCUGUCACAUACUUCCUCCUUAAACUUAGCCCAUGACGUUUCCCUUUACUCAAUACUAAGGAGUUAUACCAAGCCUCAACAUCUCCAUUCAUAUAUAGAGCAACACCUUCCACCUUCUGUUUUUUAGGAGUUUUUUACAAACUAAAAAACCUAUCACAUUUUUGAAUCCAUACCUUAGAGCAUGUUCCAUCAAAGCUGGUAACUCUCAUUUAGGAUUAGAAACAACUCAUUAUUGUGGUCUACGCGGUCGAGCAUCAAGAACUGGGAGGGAAAACAAUCCAUCCCCAAUUACUUGCACCUGCUCAUGCCCUUUGUUAGGCCUCAUCCAUAUCGUACUCAGCUGAUCUAAUAACUGCUCCAAGGUGCCAUGUAUUCUAUUUUGUGUAUCACACAAAGCAUGUCGGUCAUCUCGCAAUUCACUUAGUAGCUCAUCGUGGUGAUCCAACUUCUCGUCCAUCAACUACAUUCUCGUUCCUUCAGCCAUGAUUUGAGUCGAACAAGUCGCAGAAUCAAAAGCUCUGAUACCAAUUGUUAUGACCUUAGCCAUACAAAACAGAAUUAACAACUAAAAUGGAAAUUGCAAGUGUUUUGGGACGAUUUUUUGUAUAUUGAUAAAAUUGAAAAAUGAUUACAAUAAACUAAACUAACUAUGAAUUUGGAAAAUAAUUGGAGUCUCCACUUAUAACUCACAUCCUUAGAAGAAGAAGAUAUAAGGGGUUAGAGAAGAAGAUAAGAAUUGCAUAAGAGUGGGAGAGAACUUGAAAGAAGAAGGAGAGAAGGUUGUUAGAUUACCGGAAUUUAGAAUGCCUCUCUCCCUGUGAUUUCUGUUACAUAUACUUGGAUGGCUUAAUCUCACAUGUUGAGUCUCAUUAAAAACGAAUUGAUCUUGUCUUUCCUUGUCUUUCAGUUGUUCACUCCCUAUAUUUUUAUUACUUAAAUUUAACCCCAAGGGUCAUGACACGACCAAAUAAUUACUUGGUCAAACAAAUAUGCUAAAGUGUAUGAACACCCAAUUCCAAUCCCCGCAUGGCUUCCAAAGUAGCAUCUCAAUUGGGAAUCUUUCAUAAUGAAUAGGGUAUAACACUCUUCGAAGAGCAUUACCAUUUUCUAUUUCUCAAAGAUAUGUAUGACUAAUUGAACAUGAAAUGCGAGGCUAAAAUACAUUUGUUUUACCUCCUUAAUAUAUUUUUUUCAACAUAAGAUAUAGGAUUGCUUCUCUUUUCUCUAAAUGAUAGAGUUUAAGGGACUUUUUUCAAUGUCACGGGAUGCUGCUACAAACUGCAUAUGUUACCACGAUAUGAAUAUUUCGCCGUAUCAUUCGAUAACACCUCUAGAACUUUUUAAGGUGUUUUACAUUUUUGUUCAAAUAUGAACAACAAUAUAAUAUGCCAGAUAAUUCAUGAGUUAUCAUAUAUUUAGAGGAGAUUGUAUAUCUGGGUCAGCUUUUCAGUAAAUGGUUAUAAAGAAGUUGUGUUAGUUUUUUGGUGAAAUUUUUCUUUUGAUUGUUAGUAUUAAUUUACAUAGAGCAUUUCAAGCUAAUAUUCAAAGUUUAUAGUUUACAUAAAAUUUCAAGUGCUUGUUUUGGCAUAUGCAUCAAAGGUAGUGAGUGAGAUAACAAUUCUCUCUUAACAAAUACUUACUUCAUAUCAUUAAAAAUGUCAUUUACGUCCUUCAAGAAUAAAAAAUGAUAGUUUUACACUUAUAUUAUUCUAGAGCUAGAUAAGUGGUCUUUAAAAGCAUCUUUCUUAUCGUCCUUUUCAACUUUCCUUAGUAAGAUCCAUAAUUAAUGUUGCUUGUACAAUAGUUACUAGAAAACUUAAAAUUGCAGAAGUAUGGAUCAAAUUUUUAGGCAGUAGGGAAUUUCUUUUAUUUGCGUAAUCCCUGGUGAAUAAAGUUACAUGAUGUGAAUAUCAAUAAAAGAUAUCAGAUGUCAUGUGAAACAGUUGAAGUGCUCAAGUUGCCCGAGCAUAUUCGUUAUGCAGGAUUCCUAACUAUCAUUUGUGCUUUCAAGUCAUUAAAUUUGACUAGGAAUUCCUCAACACUACCCGCAUAUUCCAGUUUGUUAAAUUCCUCCACAAUGUCUUACAUCAAUACAUCACCAAACCUGUCACAUACUUCCUCCUUAAACUUAGCCCAUGACGUUUCCCUUUACUCAAUACUAAGGAGUUAUACCAAGCCUCAAUAUCUCCAUUCAUAUAUAGAGCAACACCUUCCACCUUCUGUUUUUUAGGAGUUUUUUACAAACUAAAAAACCUAUCACAUUUUUGAAUCCAUACCUUAGAGCAUGUUCCAUCAAAGCUGGUAACUCUCAUUUAGGAUUAGAAACAACUCAUUAUUGUGGUCUACGCGGUCGAGCAUCAAGAACUGGGAGGGAAAACAAUCCAUCCCCAAUUACUUGCACCUGCUCAUGCCCUUUGUUAGGCCUCAUCCAUAUCGUACUCAGCUGAUCUAAUAACUGCUCCAAGGUGCCAUGUAUUCUAUUUUGUGUAUCACACAAAGCAUGUCGGUCAUCUCGCAAUUCACUUAGUAGCUCAUCGUGGUGAUCCAGCUUCUCGUCCAUCAACUACAUUCUCGUUCCUUCAGCCAUGAUUGAGUCGAACAAGUCGCAGAAUCAAAAGCUCUGAUACCAAUUGUUAUGACCUUAGCCAUACAAAACAGAAUUAACAACUAAAAUGGAAAUUGCAAGUGUUUUGGGACGAUUUUUUGUAUAUUGAUAAAAUUGAAAAAUGAUUACAAUAAACUAAACUAACUAUGAAUUUGGAAAAUAAUUGGAGUCUCCACUUAUAACUCACAUCCUUAGAAGAAGAAGAUAUAAGGGGUUAGAGAAGAAGAUAAGAAUUGCAUAAGAGUGGGAGAGAACUUGAAAGAAGAAGGAGAGAAGGUUGUUAGAUUACCGGAAUUUAGAAUGCCUCUCUCCCUGUGAUUUCUGUUACAUAUACUUGGAUGGCUUAAUCUCUAAUGAUUACAAUGAAGUAAACUAACUAUGAAUUGGGAAAAUAAUUGGAGUCUCCACUUAUAACUCACAUCCUUAUAAGAAGAAGAUAUAAGGGUUAGAGAAGAAGAAAACAAUUGCAUAAGAGUGAGAGAGAAAUUGAAAGAAGAAGGAGAGAGAAGGUUGUUUGAUUGUCGGAAUUUGGAAUGCCUCUCUCCCAGUGAUUUCUGUUACAUAUACUUGGAUGGCUUAAUCUCACAUGUUGAGUCUCAUUAAAAACGAAUUGAUAUUGUCUUUCCUUGUCUUUCAGUUAUUACUGUUCACUCCCUACAUUUGUAUUACUUAAAUUUAACCCCAAGGGUCAUGACACGACCAAAUAAUUACUUGGUCAAACAAAUAUGCUAAAGUGUAUGAACACCCAAUUCCAAUUCCCGCAUGGCUUUCCAAAUUAGCAUCUCAAUUAGGAAUCUUUCAUAAUGAAUAGGGUAUAACAAUCUUCGAAGAGCAUUACCAUUUUCUAUUUCUCGAAGAUAUGUAUGACUAAUUGAACAUCAAAUGCGAGGCUAUAGUACAUUUGUUCUACCUCCUUAAUAUAUUUUUUUCAACAUAAGAUAUAGGAUUGCUUCUCUUUUGUCUAAAUGAUAGAGUUUAAUGGACUUUUCGCAAAGUACGGGAUGCCGCUACAAACUGCAUAUGUUACCACGAUAUGAAUAUUUCGUCGUAUCAUUCAAUCGAUAACACAUCUAGAACUUUUUAAGGUGUUUUACAUUUUUGUUCAAAUAUGAACAACAAUAUAAUAUGCCAGAUAAUUCAUGAUUUAUCAUAUAUUUAGAGGAGAUUGUAUAUCUGGGUCAGCUUUCAGUAAAAAGUUAUAAAGAAGUUGUGUUAGUUUUUGGUAAAAUUUAUCUUUUGAUUGUUAAGUAUUAAUUUACAUAGAGCAUUUCAAGCUAAUAUUCAAAGUUUAUAGUUUUUACAUAAAUUUCAAGUGCCUGUUUAGGCAUAUGCAUCAAAGGUAGUGAGUGAGAUAACAAUUUUCUCUUAACAAAUAGUUACUUUAUAUCAUUAAAAAUGCCAUUUACAUCCUUCAAGAAUCAAAAAUGACAAUUUUACACUUAUGUUAUUCUAGAGCUAGAUAAGUGGUCUUUAAAAGCAUCUUUCUUAUCGUCCUUUUCAACGUUCCUCAAUAAGAUCCACAAUUAAUGUUGCUUGUACAAGAGUUACUAGAAAACUUAAAAUUGCAGAAGUAUGGAUCAAAUUUUUAGAAAGUAGAGAAUUUCUUUUAUUUGCCUAAUCCCUGGUAAAUAAAGUUACAUGAUGUGAAUAUCGAUAAAAGGUAACAUAUGUCAUGUGAAGCAGUUGAAGUGCUCAAGUUGCCCGAGCAUCUUCGUUAUUUAAAUAAAAAUAAGGUAUGUCAAAUCUUCUUUUGACUUUUCUCUAUUCUUCUCCUGUUCUUUUGCCAACAACGUGAAGCCAACCUGAUGAUACUCGAUCCUUAUUUUUGACUCAUAUAGGUUGUGGACAUCGGCUCAAGUUGUUGCUUAAAACUCAAACAAGCUUUCCUUCAGUUUUUGGGAGGCGUCUGAACUUCUCGAAUUCAGGCCCUUGGUGAAUGCUUCAAUCGCCCAUUGCUCCGGAACACUCGGGAGUAACAUCCGCUCAUUUUUGAACUAGGUAAUGAACUCUCGCAGCAACUCGAAUUCUCCUUGUGCAAUUCUGAAUAUGUUGGCAGUUUGGGCUUGCACAUUUCUGGCCCCCGACGUGAGCCUUAAUAAAAGAAUCUGCAAGCAUCUCAAAGGAAUCUAUGGAAUACUCGGGUAAUAACGAAUACCACGUCAAGGCUCCCUUCAUGAGAAUCUCUCCAAAUUUCUUCAGCAAAACAAAUUAAUCUCGUGAGAAGCUAAAUCAUUCCCCUAUACCAUCAUUGUAUACAUGGUAAUAUGCUUCUGAAGUUCCAUCAUACUUUGGCAUGUCGGAAAUUUUAAACCGAUUCAAAAUCAAUUAUGGUGUCGUACUUGGUUUGAAUGGAAAUAUAGUAUACUUCUUUGAGUCUGGACCUUUCGGCAUCGGUGGUGCACCCGGGAUUCGGUCCAUGUGGGCGUUCACUUCUCUCAUAAACCAUAAAAGUUCACUCUUGAAAGGAAUCAUUUUUGUUAUUGUGGCCGGAUCCACUCCCCCCAUCCCCAUCGAGACAAAACUCGCGCCCUCGGAGUGUUUUUGUUGAUCCUCUACGUGAUUUGAUUUGCGGGAACACCCUCAUCUAUUUGCGUUAUAUGAAGCCACCGACAACGAUUGCUUCAACUCCAUCAUAACCUUAUCCUGCCAUAUGACGUGACCUAGAAUGGACGCUUGUUGUUCUUGUGAGACCCUUACUGCAUCAAUAACUUCCAAUAAUGGUCACUUUUUUACUAACAACUUGCUCCUCUUCGGUAUCACCGGGAGUUGCCUAUAGAAUGACCCGACCAGUCGUCUCAUCCGCUCCAUUUUCCUCAUUUCUGCUUUUAUAUGCUUUAUUUAUCCAUGUUUUUUGGCAUCGGGUUGGCCGGAUCGAAUCUAGAAUGCUUUUGGUAAGGUUUGAGACACUUAGUCUCUUUUGAGGAAGCUUAAGUUGGAAAAGUCAAUCGGAUAUUGACUUAUAUGUUAGAGGGCUCAUAUGUGAAUUCUGAUUGUUCAGUUAGCUUUAGGAGUUGAUUUGGGACUUAAGAGUGUGAUCGGAAUGUGUUUUGGAGGUUCGGAGUAGAUUUAGGCUUGAAUUGGAAAAGUUGAUAUUUUGGCGAUUUCCGAUUGUAGGCGAGAUUUUGAUAUUGGGUUUGGAAUGGAAUUUCGAGAGUUGUAGUAGCUCCGUUGUGUCAUUUGGGGUGAGUGUUCAAAAUUUGAGAUUAAUCGGACGUGAUUUGGUUGGGUUUUUGAUCAAAAGAGGAAUUCAAAAGAUUUUAGAAAGUUUGGCUUAAAUAUGAUGUGCUUUGAAUGACUUGAUGUUGUUUAAGGUAUUUUGAAGAUUGGAUCAAGUUUGAAUAAGGUUUUAGGAUAUAUUGGUGCCUUUAGUUGAGGCCCCAAGGGCCUCGGGGUGAUUUCAGAUGAUUAGCGAGGAAGUUUAGAUUUUUGUUGCAACUCCUGAAUUACUGCCUCUAGUAUUUUCACACCUGCAGAUUAGGGACCGCAGGUGCGGCCCCACAUAAGAGGAAGAGUGGCCACAAAAAUGGAAGUUGAGGGGUAGGCUGGAAACCGCAGAAGCGGUGAGAUGGACAUCGCAGAUGUAGAGAAUCGUAAGAUAAGUGAUUUCCGCAAAAGCGAAGGAAUAACCACAAUGAUGUAUCGUAGAAGUGGGUAUUGGGCCACAGAUGUGAAGGUUCUGGGCGGAAAGUAUAAAUUGACUCCUUCACAAAUUUGAGCUAUUUCACCAGCUUUGACUUCGGCUUGGGAGCUUUUUGGACGAUUUGAAAGAGGGAUUUCAAAGAAACUGCAUUGAGGUAAGGAAAUUGGACUUAAAACUCAUUCCUAUGCUAUUAUUUCACGGAUUAGAGCUAGAAAUUAUGGAAAUUAAGGGUGAAAUUUGGGGAAACUAGGGUUUAGUAUUGGAGACCUAUGAUUGAGGAUUGGAUGAACCAUUUGAGGUCGGAUUUCUACACUUUUGAUAUAUAUGAACUCGUGGGGAGAUAAGAGAUCUAUUGGGGUAAAACUUAUUGAAUUCCGAGAUGUGGGCCUGGGAGUCGAGUUUUGGUAAUUUCGGGAUUGUGUCAAUUUUGGAUAGAUUCGACGUGAGUAGAGGCCGAUUUGAGGGGCAAAGGAGCCGCAAACUAGAGAUUUGACCUGUUCGAGGUGAGUAAUGAUUGUAAUGAUGUUAUGAGGGUUUGAAUCCUCGGAUUGCACAUCGUAGUGCUAUAUUGAGCUGAGGCACAUGCUUGAUGAUGAGCGUGAGGUCGUGCACUAUUGGGGAUUGUGACUUGGUCCGUCUCGAUUAAUGAUUUUACUACAUAUUUGACUGAAAUCAAUUUGCUAUCAUCAUUAUUUGGGAUAAAUGCCAUAUUUGGGCUUCAUUCCAACUUUUUGUACCAUUCGAGGAUUUUUAUUGAUAUUUUCUCACUGUUUUGACUUUAGAAUUGAACUUAAUCAUGUUAUUUUUCAUUGUUUUCAUACUCAGCCAUAUUUUCUUAGUUUUUAAUACUUAAAUGAUAUUUUAAAUAAUAUUGGUUGAGAAACACUGUUUUACUACUACCCGAGUGGCUUGUUAGAAUUUUUGACUGAGUAAGGCCGAUGGCCUAUGUUGUGAGGAAACACUAAUAUUGAUUUGAAACUGGGGGCCUGAGAUAUGUACACCACAAGGUGGCUCGAUUGAUAUGAGGCCGAGAGCCUAGUGAUGAUGCCACGAGAUGGCUUGAUAUUGCUUGGGCAUAAGGGGCCUCUCCAGGAGUCUACACACCAUCAUUGAGCGCGAGUACCCAUUGUGAUGUGAGAUUAAGCCCGAGGGGCUGGUAUUGUUUUGAGAUGUUGCCCGGGGGCAAUUUUGUGGAUACAGUGCCCGAGGGCGAACCUUUAUGUGUUUAUUUUCCUCAAUUGCCUAUCAAUUAUAUGCUUACUUGUUGAAAAAGGAUUUUUACUUAUAUCUUAACUAGUUUACUAUUUUCAAAUGAUUUUAUUGCUUCAUUAUAGAAUGUCUUGUGCCGUACGUGUUUUCUCGCUUUCAGUCUUUAUUUACAAUUGUUACUCAUUGAGUUGGAGUACUCACUUUACUCCCUGCACCCUGUGUCCAGAUUCAAGAAUAGCUGGUUUCACUCCCGAGUGUUGAUCCUUCCAGCUUUAGGCGGACAUUCGGAGUUCACGAGGUAGCUGCCCUUGCGUCCGUAGUCCUGUGUUUCUCCUCCUAUAUCAUUUCUAUCUUGUUUCAGAUAGUUGUACUAAUUCACAGACUUAGCAAACUUGUAUUAUGACUUAUAGAUGGUCAUGACUAGUGGCACCCCAGUUAGGGUUGUGUUGGGUUGUACUUUAUCAUUUUUAUGAUAUUAUCUGCUACUUAAUAUUAUUAAAUCAUGUUUUAGACUGUUUUCUUGUUGUUUAAUAGUUAAACUUUGAAUUUGAAAUAGUUGGCUGGCCUUGUCUUCACGAGAGGUGCCAUCACAGUCGGGCCCAAGUUUGAGGUCGUGACAGCCUCCCAAACAUGUCGUGGGUACUGCCUAUCAUAGACAAGUGUGGCAUCGUUCCCCUUAUUGUGGGUGUCACUGAUUGAAUUCUCGAGAUGAGGUUGGUCUCCUUGAACCUCAGGAUUGUGUGUGUUAUUAACACCAUUAUCUGUCAUUUUUUAUAUGAUUUUUUGC
rnacentral:lncRNA from 1 species